AUGAUGCUCAAGAAGAAGGUGAAACUUGCCUACACACAAAAGAGGAAGGUUAUCGCAAAAAAGGUCACCAAGGCCCUUUGUGAAAUUUCGGCGUAUACUGUAGUUUCACAUCCUCCUGAUUUUGAAACAUUGGUCUUGUCAGAUCCAGAUGAACCCAAACAAGAAAAAUUCAUCAUGCAAGAGAUUUCUCAAGAUAAGGAUCCGAUGAAAAACAAAAACCUACCAGAAGAAAUGGUUGUUGAAGAACAUGAAGGACGUCAGCUAGCUGAUUAA